rnacentral:lncRNA from 1 species
CAUGACCAUUUGUUCAUCUAUCCAUGUCAUGCACUUGUUAUAUGAUCUAUCUAUACUUGUCGAUGCAUGAUUUAUCUCUGUCUAUUUAUGCCUGUGUCGUGCCUUCGCGCCGGACUAAUUAUUUAUUUAUCUAUCUCUAUCAUCUCUCGUGCUAUGGAAAUGUGCUACUCCGAGAUAUCGUCGUGUUGGUGUUGUAGUUUAGUCAUUUGUCAAGUUGUGGUUCUUGCGGGUUGUGUGGUUCUUCUUGCUUCGGACCGAGCCGUCGAGCCGGUUGAGAGAGUGACGUGUUUGAAUGUUGUGAUCGCGAGUUCGUCUUGCCAUGGUCGUAGUGCCAAGCAUGUCCCUUCUCUCGUGUUGUCGCUGUUCUUCUUUAUUUAUUUGCCUGAGGACUGAGCCUUUGAGCCGGUCGCGGAAGUGGUAGUGCGCUUGACCAUUUCGAUCGUGGGUUCGUCCCGCCGUGAUCGCGAUGCCGAGCGUAACUCGUUUCCCGAGUUCAGUUGACUCUGUCGCGCUAGGGUCGUUAGCUCUUGUUCUUGUCCCGCAGCCGUGGUCAUCGUGGGCUCGAUGUCUUUAUCGACACGGAUCUUACCCGCACACCCGAGACCUAUGUGGCCUAGUCUAGUGGGAUACGGAUUAGGGGACUUGUUAGGUGAAGCUCGUGGCCGCAAGUCCACCUUGCCAUGACCAUCGGGCUUUACCCCAUUUCUCGAGUGUUUAUCCUAACCACCUCGUAUGCUUGUACCAUCCUGACUAGAGCAUUCCCUCGGACCUAGUGGUGACAACCGCAUCGCUACGGGCCUUAGGAAUAGCCUCGUGCCGAUUUAGUCGCACAGUCAUGGUGCCCUACGAGUAGGUUUGGAUCGUGGGGUCGUAUCUCUUUUAUCCAACCGUCGUUCGUUCCAUGAUGAGUUGGUCGAAAGGGUAGAACUCCAUUCUUCUUCUUACUUAAUCUUAAUCAUCAUCAGCAUGGAUUGAGACUCGUUUUGCUUGUUUGUUGUUUUGUUUCCAAUCCCGCGAUUCCCGCUGUUGCUAUGGCGAGUGGAUCAAAGGGAGAUGAAUCCCGUGUCCUUUCCCGUCUUUUUGGUUCUUCGUGUUUAAAACUCUUGUACGCUUGUACCUAUUCGACCGUAGCAUUUCUUGGUUCUCGUGGUGACAACCGCACCGCUAAGAACCCUGGUGAUGUCUUAGUGCAUUUAGUGCACCUAGGUUGUGGUACCCUACAAGUAGUUUGAGCACUCGUGUUCUUGUGUGUCACUCUUUCAGAUUCCCCGUCUCUUACCAUGGCGAGUGGAUUGGAAGGAGUAGACCACUUUCCCUUUUCUUCUCUCUUUGUUCCACCCUCUCUUGGCUUCCGCCAACUACAAUGGCGUAUAGAUUGAGAGAGACCGGAACUUCUCGUGCUCAUAGUCUUUUCGAUUCUUGUCGACCUCUAUGACACUUGGAUCGAAAGACCGUAAGCUGUGGUGUUUGCUUAGAAUGAGUUAGAGUCUAAACCAUUUAUUGAAGCCGUACAGGUUGACUCAGUUGACCCGGGAAGUACUGGCUAAGCUAGGACUCUGACUCGUACUUAGUGAACAGCCAGUCUUGUUUCUUUAGCCCAGGGACCGGACAUCCGUCGAGAGGGCCAAGCUGUUUUCCUUUCGUUGCUCUUUUAGUGUAGUUGUUCCUCAGUGUUCUGUCGUCUCUUUUCGCAGUCCUUCUAGGUCUAGUGGUUUGAUUGUUUCGCCUUGUUUGUCGCUUUCGAGGUAGAUGCUUCAGUUAGCGUUGAUCGGAUCAGGACCCGUUGGAGGGAGGACAUGCGGAAAGGAGGAUCUUGGAUGAGUACAACUACAAGUGAACUGAGGAUCUUGGAGAUAACAUUCAACAGGUGCCACGUCCCACCCAACCUCGUAGAAUCCUAUUAGACAUGCAAUAUGUAGAUGCUAGUGCUUUACUUUUAUGCAAUUGAACUGAGAUAGGUUGCAUGGUAGAAAUGCUUGUGAGCCAUUGCCUUGUUGCAACCUAUAAACUUCGCACACCCGCUGUUAGGGUAGAUGCUUGCACACUACUUGCUACUGCUUCUACUACGCAUUAUAUCUGUGAUGUGAUGCAAUGUGGAAGAUUGGAUGUGAGUGGAUAAGGCACGUGGUGCCAAUAAAUGGAUAAUGAGAUGGUAAUGGAUUUGGGGAGAUCUUGGCGUGUGUCUUGGGUGUGUGGUGAGGGUCGAGUCGACCGAGCAGGAUCUACGACGAGUCUUGGGACAAGUCUUGCCGGGGGACGCUACCUGGGCGUUCUCCACGAGAGUUACCUGUGGCGGGUACAUGUGACAGGGAGAGGUCCCGGAGUGGAGUGUCUUCGUGGGACGAAGCGCCGGGAUGGGAGCUGCUGUUUAGCACGGGGUAGCCGGAUGUCCCGUCGAGCGGGGCAUCAGUUGGCCCCUCGUGAAGAUAUCCUGUUUGGUCACCCUAAGGACUGAUAUGUUCUGUGGACCGGGUCUUAGGAAGCCUUACACGCCACUCGCCUUAGCCAUGGAACGGGACGGAUGUACGACCAGCUAGUGCGGUGCCACUACUACUAGGUUGAUAGCAGAUAGUGUAGGGAGGUACGGGCAUGAGGACCUACACCCUCCUAAGACAGCGUAGUGACCUUGGGGGCCCGGUACUACGCCUCACAGUCUCAGCAUGCCGGUGGUACUCCGGUAUGGCCCCAGUUCUGAGUGGUAGGGUGGCAUCGUAUUUAGUUGGGAGGCAGCUCGGAAUCAGCCUAGACGGGGGCCACCGUCGAUGAUGGUGAUCUUGUGGUUAGUGUAAACCUCUGCAGAGUUUUGGUUGAUCGAUCGAUACAUAUGCCGAUUCGUCGGCUAUGGACCUUUCCUAAGUACAGCUUCACUUGACUAGAGAGAGGAGUCCUUUCUACCUUCCCCUGGGUUUGUGUUGGAUCCGGCGUUGGCCGUUGAGGCAAAGCACGAGCGGGAGUCGUACUUGCCGCCUAGAGAGUGAGAGUGUGGUGAGAUGUGUGUGAUGGGAUGGAUGGAUGGAUGUGUGGAUGAGAUGGAUUAAACUUGAUGAAUUAUUAUUAUUAAAUAUUGAUGAACUUGUAUAGGAAAGACUACAGCCAUAUGUAUAGGCCUCUUGAUCUACCCUUUGCAUUCCACUUACCACAAAGCUUACGCAAAAGCAUAGGGUGGGAGCCAGUGGCCAGUACAAAUCGUACUGAACAUUGUUUAGCAGGUUUUGAACGUGGUCCAUGACGAUGACUACGGAGAGUAGAAGGAUUAGGUGGUCUCGUUCCUGCACUCAAGUUUGGUUCGGAGAUGGAGGCUACGCCUGCUGAUAAACUACGCCGACUCUGAUGAUUGCCCGUGAAGGAGGAGCCUUCACCGCUGACGCGCUACAUCAACUCUGAUAUAGACCCGUGUGUGUUUCCGCUAGAAAAACGAUAUAAUAGGCUUGUUGACUGAGAGUUGUAAAGUAAAUGUGUUGUAAUCUUGUUUUUCACGAUGUAUGACUAUGAUAACAGCUGAUAUAUGAUAAUGUGAUGGCUCAAUUUUUGAAUUAUCACAUUAUAAUUCGAAUCUGUGGAUUUUCCCCUUUGUGGAAAAAUCUAGGUCGUUUCAGUUGGUAUCAGAGCCAUACUUGACCCUAGGACGAGACCUUUAGCACCAAACACUAGUUAAGAAGCCAAACAUCCUAUCUUUUGUAGAGUUAUAGACACUAACACUUGUUUUCCCCCUCUGCCUUGAAUUCUGCUGCUAACUGACCUCCCUGUUUCAUAAAGUUGACCGUUGGAAACUUUUCCCAUACAUGCCCACGCUAGAUCGGUAGUCGUGUGAGACUUUGAAGGUCUGUGAGUCACCUCAAGUCAACACUAUGCAUUAGGAGUUGUAAUGCUGUUUGAGUGCUUGGAUCUUAUGUUGUUGUGUUUCUUCGGCUUCUUGUUGUCUGAGUGUAAGUCAUAGAACUUGUUUUAUGCGAGAAAGACUCUGGAUCCCGUCCAACCUAGUCGGCUAAACCCAAGACCGUCCCGAGACUAGAUAGGUGGCCCUGGCUAACAGAGCUGAAAAAGGGUGUAAAGCUGAUGCAUCAUGUCUUUCCCAUCUAUUUCAAAACUGUUUUGGCUUCCAACUAAACCUAUCUUCAAAAUUUUCUCUCCUUUUUGGUUAAAAUGUCCCCUCUUUAACAAAAACAUCUCUAUUUCAAAUAGAUAAGUGUUUCAAAACUCUCUCAAGGUCUUCCUUUUUCGAAAAGAAGGCAACUCAAACUCCAUUCUCAACUCAAUGUUAUUCAAAAGCUAUUUAUGAACUGAUUUAAAAAUAAGUUAUCUUUCAAAAAGUGUUACCAACCAUCUUCUGAAAAACAAAAGUCUUGCUUUUUCAUCAACAAUGUGGUUUUCAAACCAAAGAUCUUUGGCUCAGUUUUGUUUUAAAGGCCUUUGAUUUUAUCUCGAGAGCCAAAUUCCCUUCAAAAAUCAACCUUGUAUUACAAAAUGAGAGAUUUGUAACUGAUUUGUUAAACAAAAACCAUUGUGAAAGGAUUUUGUUUUGCAACCUUCAAAAAAAAAUAGCAAAAAAAAAGAGAAAUGAUUUCUAACCAUUUUCAAAACUAGAUUGUUUAAUUCAAAUAAAAGAGAGCAACACCUCAUUUAGAAAACUAAAAGAGUUUCAAAGUCUCUUGAUUUGAAAUCUUUUACAAAAAAAAAUCUCUUAAAAAAAAUAAAAUAAAUAUAUACAUAUAUAUAUAAUAUAAAUAAUAAUAAUGACAAAAUAAAUAAAUUUGGUUUUCAAAAUUUGCGUUGAUUUCAACCCUUUUCAAAAGCUCUUUUCAGUUUGAGCUAUCUUAAAAAAAAACUUUGACUUUGUAAAACCGCUUUCACUCCAUUUAUGAAACGUGAUUUUCCAAAAAACAUUCCUUUCAAAAGCUUUUUGCAAAAAGUGAUGCAUGAAAAACAGCUGGUGAAAGCCAACAACCCUAGCUAUGUUUCAGCCUGCCAAGCACCCUUUGAGAGCCAGAUGUUCAUCAACCUGGUGCGAUUCUUGGAUACCCAUCGCCUUGUUGUAAAAAUUUGGAUACCCAACACCAGCGAGUGAGCCUUGGAUACACUUGGAACAUGACUCACUCCUGUUUUGGAAAAAGUUUGUGGAGCGAUCAUACUGAAAGUGAAACAACUUAGAAGUAAGAGGAACUUCGAGAAUAGCACCCUUGCUUCUUCAUCGACCGAGCAACGCCUAAAUCUCGGGGACGAGAUUCCUGUAAGGUGGGUGGACUGUAACAUCCCAGAUUUUUACGUAAACCAAAAAUACGAGCUUUCUAAAAUUUUUCCUGUAAUCGUGUGAACCAUAUAGUUUUUAGGUCAAACUCGAUCCUAACCCGCUAACAAAUCGUGGCAUACAUGUAGAUUUGUUUGUAGGCGAGUGCUUUUGUUCGUGAGUCGAUUUGGAGUUGAGUCCUAAUUAGGGUUUGGAGUGCACAAAUCCGUAGCAAGUCUUUCUGAAUCUCUGUUGAGCCUAUCUCAAAGGCGAAGCGAAUCCCUUCUCAACCUUUUCUUGUUGAUCUCAUCACUAAAUCUCCUCCGCAAAAUCUAUCUUAAAUUCAUGGUAACUCAUCUCAAUCUCUUGUUGAGUCCUCUCUCGAAUGCCCCUCAUUUUUUCCCUUUUUAAAUUUCUCUCAAAGCCCUUGAGUCAAAUUCGUAAAUGGAAAAUCCAUCUCCUUUCAUGGGCCAAUUCUUUCCUCCUCUUCCUCCCUCCCUCGGCCCAGCCUGGGCUCCCUUCCCCCCUGUCCGGCCCAACUCGCGCGCGCCAAGGCCCAGUCUGCCCCUUACCCCCCAGCCAGGUCGGCCCACCUCGUUCCCCCUGUCUCCCCUCCGAGGCCCAGCUCUUUCCUUGGCCCAUCCAGUGCCGCGCUGGCCCAUUCGCUUCUCCCUGCUCUGGCCCAAGUCGUGGCCGGCCCAGCAGCCAGCGCCCCAGCCCCAACCCUAGCAGGGAGCUGGACACCUGAGCCCCAGAGCCGCCGCCGCCGUCGCCCAAGGCAGAGCCGCGCCAGCGCUCGCGCCUGCCACGGCUUCCGUGCGACCCCGCAUCCACCGCCGCGUGUCCCGCUGCGGACACGGACGCCGAGGAUGGCCGCAACGUCCCUAGAGCCCUAGCGCCCGCGCUAUAAAAGCAGCAGCAGCCGCUCGCCCUUCUUCUACCCGCCGCCGCCGCCAUAGCCGACUCGAAGCUCCACACCCUCACCAAGCGCCUCGACCCCGACCUCGCCCCGCGCACCUGCACCACCGAGCUCGGUCACGUCGUGACGCCGUCGAUCGCCACCACGAUGUCGCCCGCAACUGCGUCGCCCGAGCGUCUCGUCCUCGGCACCACCUCGGCACCCGCACCGCGCCCUCGCCGAGCAGCAGCAGAGCCGCGGCCAUGGCCUCGCCCUGCCGACGCCGCCAAGCACCACUGCGCCCGCCUCGGCCGUGCCCCUACCUCUGUGUCAAGCUUCAUCACCACGCGGGGGUCAGCCGCGGUGCCGUCCUCGCUGCGCAGCAGCCUCGCCCGGCGACGUCGAGCCCGCUGCCCUCGCCGCGUCGAGCUUCGACCACGGCCGGCCGCGUGGACGCCACAGCCCGGCCGAGCCUCUGCCUCGCCACCGUGGGAGUCGCCGCGGCCACGACGCCUUCAGCCUCGGCGCCCCUCCGCGUCCACGACGGUGUCGACCGCGAGCCCCCGUGCUGUCAUGGAGCUUACCUCGUCGAGCCGACACGCCGUCGACAGAGCCACCGAUGCCGCGCGCCGGGCACCAGAGCAAGCCCCUUCGCCGAGCACCCGAUGCGCCCUGUCGCCGCGGCCACGCCAGGACGUCGCCAUGGUCACCGCGUCAGCGCCGGCCGUGGUGAUCGCGACCCCGACCACGACGCCGUGCUCAUCUUGCCACGGUGACCGCGAACUUCCCUUUUUGCUGGCUGCCGAUCACCACUGAACGUGCAGCAGCGGCAGCACCACCCCGCGCGAAGCUCUUCUCUGCCGCCGGUGAGCCACCAGUGCCCAAGUGCCCUCCUUGCUAGCUUUCUGUUUUGCCUUGCUGAAACCGGCCUUUGUGCCGUGUUCUUCACUGUACAGGGAUGCUGCACCCAUGUCGUGCCACUUGCCGGAGCCGUUGGACUUAACAUCGCUGCUGUUGGAGCACCGAACCUCGAGGCGUUGCCGAACCCCAAGACUUCUCUUUCAGAUGCACCCCGGCCACCUGCAGCAAGCCGCGACCAAGCUGUAGAAGCCCUCUGCCAUCCUCGCCCGCAAGGUCGAACCUUGAACCUAGCUGACAUCGUCUCCGACGUUGGCAAAACCCUUGCCCUUCAUUUCGAUAUCAUACAUGCCAUGUAUCUUGCUCAUGUAUGCAUUAAGAUCUAUCUGCAUGACCAUUUGUUCAUCUAUCCAUGUCAUGCACUUGUUAUAUGAUCUAUCUAUACUUGUCGAUGCAUGAUUUAUCUCUGUCUAUUUAUGCCUGUGCCGUGCCUUCGCGCCGGACUAAUUAUUUAUUUAUCUAUCUCUAUCUAUCUCUCGUGCUAUGGAAAUGUGCUACUCCGAGAUAUCGUCGUGUUGGUGUUGUUGUUUAGUCAUUUGUCAAGUUGUGGUUCUUGCGGGUUGUGUGGUUCUUGUUGCUUCGGACCGAGCCGUCGAGCCGGUUGAGAGAGUGACGUGUUUGAAUGUUGCGAUCGCGAGUUCGUCUCGCCAUGGUCGUAGUGCCAAGCAUGUCCCUUCUCUCGUGUUGUCGCUGUUCUUCUUUAUUUAUUUGCCUGAGGACUGAGCCUUUGAGCCGGUCGGGGAAGUGGUAGUGCGCUUGACCAUUUCGAUCGUGGGUUCGUCCCGCCGUGAUCGCGAUGCCGAGCGUAACUCG